rnacentral:rRNA from 1 species
GAUGAACGCUAGCGGCAGGCCUAAUACAUGCAAGUCGAGGGGCAACAGGUGUAGCAAUACAUGCUGGCGACCGGCGCACGGGUGCGUAACACGUAUGUAAUCUACCCUUUACUGGAAGAUAGCCCGGAGAAAUUCGGAUUAAUACUCCAUAACACUAUAACAUGGCAUCAUGAAGUAGUUAAAGAUUUAUCGGUAAAGGAAGAGCAUGCGGCUGAUUAGCUAGUUGGUGAGGUAACGGCGCACCAAGGCAACGAUCAGUAGGGGACCUGAGAGGGUGAUCCCCCACACUGGUACUGAGAUACGGACCAGACUCCUACGGGAGGCAGCAGUAGGGAAUAUUGGGCAAUGGAGGCAACUCUGACCCAGCCAUGCCGCGUGCAGGAAGACGGCCUUCUGGGUUGUAAACUGCUUUUGAUCGGGAACAAAGAGCCCUUGCGAGGGAAGUUGAGUGUACCGAUAGAAUAAGCACCGGCUAACUCCGUGCCAGCAGCCGCCGUAA